GGAUGUGAGGGCGAUCUGGCUGAGACACCUGUCACCCCAUUGAUCGCCAGGGCUGAUUCGCUGAUCUGGCUGGCUAGGCGGGUGUUCCUUCCUCCCUCACCGCCCCAUGUGCGUCCACUGCACUACUGGGUUCAAGGGAGGGUUAAGAAUAUAAGCCCAGCAAGAAAAAAAACUUUGUUUUACUUACUUGAACAGUAGUGAUUGCUAACAGGGCCAAGAACAAGGAUUCAGGUGUUUUAGUU
ensembl:misc_RNA 7SK 7SK RNA